rnacentral:rRNA from 1 species
ACGAACGCUGGCGGCGUGCUUAACACAUGCAAGUCGAACGGAAAGGCCCUGCUUUUGUGGGGUGCUCGAGUGGCGAACGGGUGAGUAACACGUGAGUAACCUGCCCUUGACUUUGGGAUAACUUCAGGAAACUGGGGCUAAUACCGGAUAGGAGCUCCUGCUGCAUGGUGGGGGUUGGAAAGUUUCGGCGGUUGGGGAUAGACUCGCGGCUUAUCAGCUUGUUGGUGGGGUAGUGGCUUACCAAGGCUUUGACGGGUAGCCGGCCUGAGAGGGUGACCGGCCACAUUGGGACUGAGAUACGGCCCAGACUCCUACGGGAGGCAGCAGUGGGGAAUAUUGCACAAUGGGCGGAAGCCUGAUGCAGCAACGCCGCGUGCGGGGUGACGGCCUUCGGGUUGUAAACCGCUUUCGCCUGUGACGAAGCGUGAGUGACGGUAAUGGGUAAAGAAGCACCGGCUAACUACGUG